AAGGUCGUAACAAGGUUUCCGUAGGUGAACCUGCGGAAGGAUCAUUACUGGGUUAGCCCUCGGGCGCAACUCCACCCUUUGUAACCGCGGCCCGGAUUCGGCGCCUGGCGGGGAGCACCCCCCGGUUUCGCGGGGGGUCCCCGCCUGCCGGAAUUUAGCCCAAACCCUGCCUAGAAAUUUGAAGUCUGAGAACAAGUUAAAUUAAACAAAAG
rnacentral:misc_RNA from 1 species